rnacentral:rRNA from 1 species
CCUGACUGCUAUCGGAUUGAUACUAAGCCAUGCGAGUUUUUGUAGCAAUACAAGGCAUACGGCUCAGUAACACGUAGUCAAUCUAACCUAUGGACGAGGAUAACCUCGGGAAACUGAGAAUAAUACUCGAUAGAUCAUUAUGCCUGGAACGGUUUAUGGUUAAAAUGAAUUUCGCCAUAGGAUGGGACUGCGGUCUAUCAGCUUGUUGGUGAUGUAAUGGACCACCAAGGCUAUAACAGAUACGGGCUCUGAGAGGAGAAGCCCGGAGAUGGGUACUGAAACACGGACCCAGGCCCUAUGGGGCGCAGCAGGCGAGAAAACUUUGCAAUGUGCGAAAGCACGACAAGGUUAAUCCGAGUGAUUCCUGCUAAAGGAAUCUUUUGUUAGUCAUAAAACCACUAAUGAAUAAGGGGUGGGCAAGUUCUGGUGUCAGCCGCCGCGGUAAAACCAGCACCUCAAGUGGUCAGGAUGAUUAUUGGGCCUAAAGCAUCCGUAGCCGGCUCUGUUAGUUUUCGGUUAAAUCCAUAUGCUCAACAUAUGGGCCGCCGGGAAUACUACAAAGCUAGGGAGUGGGAGAGGUAGACGGUACUCCGUAGGAAGGGGUAAAAUCCUUUGAUCUAUGGAUGACCACCAGUGGCGAAGGCGGUCUACCAGAACACGUUCGACGGUGAGGGAUGAAAGCUGGGGGAGCAAACCGGAUUAGAUACCCGGGUAGUCCCAGCUGUAAACUAUGCAAACUCAGUGAUGCAUUGGCUUGUGGCCAGUGCAGUGCCGCAGAGAAGUCGUUAAGUUUGCCGCCUGGGAAGUACGUACGCAAGUAUGAAACUUAAAGGAAUUGGCGGGGGAGCACCACAAGGGGUGAAGCCUGCGGUUC